rnacentral:rRNA from 1 species
UAUGAACGCUGGCGGCGUGCCUAAUACAUGCAAGUCGAGCGAACAGACGAGGAGCUUGCUCCUCUGACGUUAGCGGCGGACGGGUGAGUAACACGUGGAUAACCUACCUAUAAGACUGGGAUAACUUCGGGAAACCGGAGCUAAUACCGGAUAAUAUAUUGAACCGCAUGGUUCAAUAGUGAAAGACGGUUUUGCUGCCACUUAUAGAUGGAUCCGCGCCGCAUUAGCUAGUUGGUAAGGUAACGGCUUACCAAGGCAACGAUGCGUAGCCGACCUGAGAGGGUGAUCGGCCACACUGGAACUGAGACACGGUCCAGACUCCUACGGGAGGCAGCAGUAGGGAAUCUUCCGCAAUGGGCGAAAGCUUGACGGAGCAACGCCGCGUGAGUGAUGAAGGUCUUCGGAUCGUAAAACUCUGUUAUUAGGGAAGAACAAAUGUGUAAGUAACUAUGCACGUCUUGACGGUACCUAAUCAGAAAGCCACGGCUAACUACGUG